ACGGAAGGCAGCAGUGGGGAAUAUUGCACAAUGGGGGAAACCCUGAUGCAGCGACGCCGCGUGAGUGAAGAAGUAUUUCGGUAUGUAAAGCUCUAUCAGCAGGGAAGAAAAUGACGGUACCUGACUAAGAAGCCCCGGCUAACUACGUGCCAGCAGCCGCGGUAAUACGUAGGGGGCAAGCGUUGUCCGGAAUGAUUGGGCGUAAAGGGCGCGUAGGCGGCCCGGUAAGUCUGGAGUGAAAGUCCUGCCUUUAAGGUGGGAAUUGCUUUGGAUACUGUCGGGCUUGAGUGCAGGAGAGGUAAGUGGAAUUCCCAGUGUAGCGGUGAAAUGCGUAGAGAUUGGGAGGAACACCAGUGGCGAAGGCGACUUACUGGACUGUAACUGACGCUGAGGCGCGAAAGUGUGGGGAGCAAACAGGAUUAGAUACCCUGGUA
rnacentral:rRNA from 1 species